rnacentral:lncRNA from 1 species
GAGCCAGCACUAGCACUAGUAACAGCCCCAGCACCUCCACCUCCACCGCAACAGCAACUAGUCCGAGCCCGAAGAGCACCAGCUGCGAAUCCACUUGCACCUGGUCGUCAUCCAUUAUGGACAUUCCUUAACACAGAUAAUAAAAGUCGAUUCCAAGUCAUGAGAUGGAAGCAAGUGAUGGCGAGUCGUUGCAUCGACUUUGUAUCCC